UUUCCGUAGGUGAACCUGCGGAAGGAUCAUUAAAGAGAUCAUGCCCUCACGGGUAGACCUCCCACCCUUUGUUUACAAUACCUUUGUUGCUUUGGCGGGCCCGUUUGGCCCCGCGCUGAACAACCAGCCCCGGCUGGUCAGUGCCCGCCAGAGAACCGAAAACUCUGAAUUAAAUGUCGUCUGAGUACUAUGUAAUAGUUAAAACUUUCAACAACGGAUCUCUUGGUUCUG
rnacentral:misc_RNA from 1 species